rnacentral:rRNA from 1 species
AGCAAACUGGCGGCGUGCCUAACAAUGCAAGUCCAGCGGGGACAUGCGACGGAGACAAAGUUUUCGGAUGGAGUCAAAGAUGCAUUGUUCUAGCGGCGGACGGGUGAGUAACGCGUGAGCAACCUGUCCCUUACAGGGGGAUAACACAGCGAAAGUUGUACUAAUACCGCAUGAGACCACGGGUUCACAUGGACCAGGGGUCAAAGGAAGCAAUUCCGGUAAGGGGUGGGCUCGCGUCCGAUUAGAUAGUUGGUGAGGUAACGGCCCACCAAGUCGACGAUCGGUAGCCGACCUGAGAGGGUGAUCGGCCACAUUGGGACUGAGACACGGCCCAAACUCCUACGGGAGGCAGCAGUGGGGAAUAUUGGGCAAUGGGGGGAACCCUGACCCAGCAACGCCGCGUGAGGGAAGAAGGUUUUCGGAUCGUAAACCUCUGUCCUUGGUGAAGAGUAAGAGACGGUAGCCAAGGAGGAAGCCCCGGCUAACUACGUGCCAGCAGCCGCGGUAAU